rnacentral:lncRNA from 1 species
AACCUCCCAUGGCUGUGCUGCUGCUUCCUCGGUGUCCUGUGUCACUGGUCCCACCAGCUCAUCAGCGGUCAGGCAGCCCUCAGUCCACGCUGCCGCUGCCCGGUGGCCUGGAGUGGACGUUGCCACUGCCCGGCGGCCUGGAGUGGACGUUGCCGCUGCCCGGCGGUCCCGCGCCCACGUUGCCGCUGCCCGGCGGUCCCGAGCCCACGUUGCCGCUGCCCAGCGGUCCCGAGUCCACACUGCCACUGCUGCUGCCGCUGCUGCUGCCGCUGCCCGGCGGUCCCGAGUCCACGCUGCCGCUGCUGCUGCCGCUGCCCGGCGGUCCCGAGUCCACGCUGCCGCUGCCGCUGCCCGGCGGUCCCGAGUCCACGCUGCCGCUGCCGCUGCCUCUGCCCGGCGGUCCCGAGUCCACGCUGCCACUGCCGCUGCCGCUGCCCGGCGGUCCCGAGUCCAUGAUGCCGCUGCCCGGCGGUCCCGAGUCCAUGAUGCCGCUGCCCGGCGGUCCCAAGUCCAUGAUGCCGCUGCCCGGCGGUCCCAAGUCCGCGCUGCCGCUGCCGCUGCCCGGCAGUCCCGAGUCCACGCUGCCGCUGCCCGGCGAUCCUGAGUCCCCGUUGCCGCUGCUCGGCUUCCGGGGAUCUGCGUUGCUGGACUGCAUGGUUGGCCUGCAGUCGGGUGCCGCCCGCACUGCCGCCAUUCAGGGAGGUUCCGCCUUGGCCGCCAGCGCUCUGGCCGUCCGCCCGAGCGCCACCCCGUGCCUGGUUCCCGGUGCCUGGGCCGUCCACCCAAGCGCCUCCCCGUGCCUGGUUCCCGGUGCCCCGGCCGUCCGCCCGAGCGCCACCCCGUGCCUGGUUCCCAGCGCCCCAGCCAUCCGCCCGAGCGUCGCCCCGUGCCUGGUUCUUGGCGCCCUGGCCGUCCGCCAGAGCAUUACCCCGUCCUUGGUUCCCUGCGCCCCGGUCGUCCGCCCAAGUGCCGUUCCGUCCUUGGUCACCUGCCCUCCAGCCUUCCACCUGACUCUGGCUCUGAGCCCUGUGCUUUGGCCUCCUCCUCCCCCCGUCUUAUGACGGCCAUCCAUCCUCGGGCCCCUGAUACAGUUUUUGGGACGUCAAGAGCCGUCCCUUGAGGGGGGGGUUCUGUCAUGGUUUUGUGUUUUGUUUGGUUCUGUUUCAUGUGUGUUUCUGUCAUGGUUUUGUUUCUUCUGUUUUGUUUGAUUCUGUUUCAUGUGUUUCAUCUGCCUCGUUCUUUUUAGUGAUUUCACCUGUGUCUUGUUUGCUCCUCCCUGUGCCACACCUGUCCUGUGUCUGUUAAUCAUCCCUGAUUGUUCUGAUCCCUCCCAGUGUUUUACCUCAGCCUAUCCUCUGUGUUCUCCUGUCUUGUGCUCCAGCCCCUUCCCCAGGUGUGUCUUGUUUGAUGAUUAGUUCUUGUCUAUUUAAGUCCUGUUUGAGUUCUGUUCUUCGUCGG